AGAGUUUGAUCAUGGCUCAGAACGAACGCUGGCGGCAGGCUUAACACAUGCAAGUCGAACGCGUGUAGCAAUACACGAGUGGCGCACGGGUGAGUAACGCGUGGAUAUCUGCCUUUUGGUUCGGAAUAACCCCGGGAAACUGGGGCUAAUACCGGAUGGUUCCUACGGGAUAAAGAUUUAUCGCCAAAAGAUGAGUCCGCGUACGAUUAGCUAGUUGGUGAGGUAAUGGCUCACCAAGGCGACGAUCGUUAGCUGGUCUGAGAGGACGAUCAGCCACACUGGGACUGAGACACGGCCCAGACUCCUACGGGAGGCAGCAGUGGGGAAUAUUGGACAAUGGGGGCAACCCUGAUCCAGCCAUGCCGCGUGAGUGAUGAAGGCCCUUGGGUUGUAAAGCUCUUUCACCGGUGAAGAUAAUGACGGUACCCGCAGAAGAAGCCCCGGCUAACUUCGUGCCAGCAGCCGCGGUAAUACGAAGGGGGCUAGCGUUGCUCGGAAUCACUGGGCGUAAAGCGCACGUAGGCGGCUUUUUAAGUCAGGGGUGAAAUCCUGGAGCUCAACUCCAGAACUGCCUUUGAUACUGAGAAGCUUGAGUCCGGGAGAGGUGAGUGGAACUGCGAGUGUAGAGGUGAAAUUCGUAGAUAUUCGCAAGAACACCAGUGGCGAAGGCGGCUCACUGGCCCGGUACUGACGCUGAGGU
rnacentral:rRNA from 1 species